AAGCAAGUGCUAACACAGAUGGAAUUGUGUAAUAAUUAAAAGAUUACAAAUUAUUGCGAUAUCGUCCUGUCAAGAAUGUAAAUGAACGAGAAAUUAUUAUCCAUGCUAUUUUCUGUGUUAUGGAAUGGCUUAUGGCAAUUAGUUACAUUGACAACGAUACCUAUCGUAAGAAAUUAACAGGCCACUUAUAUGGUUAAUUAGUGAAAGAAGUAGGCACGAAUGAUUACCAAUUUCAGUAUUACGGUGUAUUAAUAUUACAACACAAUUAUGAAAUCUUAAUCGAGCCAUCGGGCAGUGAAGUCAAUGCCAAAAAUAGAGAGCACCGCUUACCCUGGCAUAUUUGUCCAGAGAAGAAUUAUUGGUAAAUUGGGGUGGGACAGGUCAAUUGGUCACUGGCGUGUUUGAUGUCUUACCAGUCUACCGACUCCGUUACAGUUUCUGCAAUUAGAAUAACCGACAAUGUCUAUAGCAAGAAUAAGUUCAGCUACGUCCCACCCCUUUUCGGAACUUCUUAGCCGAUCAGGUUGUCAUCUGUGAUGACCUGUAAAUAAGAAAUCACGUCAAACGCCCAUGACAUUUAUCAACUCCGAUUUUCACACCGUUCCGAAGUAAGAUUUCGAUGUCACGAAGGAAGGCGACAGAAAACGAGGAGAGCCAACGUUUCGCACGCCAUUUUGUUCCCUAUUUCAACGAAGUUCCAGAUUCGUUUCAUUUACCAGAGAUGAUUUACAAGCUUUCAAAAUAUCGCAAGUAAACUCGUUAGUAAUGGAACGUCUUAAUUUUAAUUUGUUUGUGUAUUUUUUAAAUUUUAAAUACGAUGUAUUCCUUAAUAAAUUAUUCGUUUCUUCUAAUCGUUGAGGUUAAAAGAAAAGGGAAUUAUAAUGGAA